CAAUAGCGUAUAUUAAAGUUGUUGCAGUUAAAAAGCUCGUAGUUGGAUUUCUGGUCGGAAGCUCCUGUCCUCUGAUGAGCGUACAAGUGCGUCCUACCAUCCUUCUGUUAACCUUUAAGGCUUUCGCGGCUUUCUAGGGGCUCAGAUAUUUUACCUUGAGAAAAUUAGAGUGUUUCAGGCAGGCUAGCGCCGGAAUACAUUAGCAUGGAAUAAUGGAAUAGGACUUUUGCCUCUUCUGUUGGUCAUGAGGCUCGAGUAAUGAUUAAUAGGGAUAGUUGGGGGCAUUAGUACUUAACUGUCAGAGGUGAAAUUCUCGGAUUUGUUAAGGACUAACUUAUGCGAAAGCAUUUGCCAAGGAUGUUUUCAUUAA
rnacentral:rRNA from 1 species